rnacentral:rRNA from 2 species
AUCAGGGGUAAACCUGUGGAACUCGAACGAGCGAACGGGGAGAUUCAWUGUWCUCYRUYGGGUCCGCGGAGGGGCGCUGACGUCGCACGUUCGCGUGCGGCGCUCGUCUUUUCGUGCGAUUCGCGGAGUGCGUGCACUCCUCCCUUAGUAAAACACCGCGACCCGUUGUCUGUGGGUCGAACGCGCCGUGCGGAUGUCCCGCCUCGAUAUUCGUGGUGGAUCCGCGGCGUCGCGGCUCACGGGCGACGGUAAAGAACGAGGUUCGCGUCCGCCAUUGGCGUCCUCGGCGCGGCGGCGGCUCUCCUCGCAUCGUCUCGGCGCGCAAGCGUCGCGGCGGUCGAGCGAGGUCCGCGUCUGCUGCGUCAGCAAGGACGGGACGCGUCCCGGUCKGCGGUGGUUUGUUUCGGGCACUCACAGGACCC